rnacentral:rRNA from 1 species
AGCGAACGCUGGCGGCAAGCUUAACACAUGCAAGUCGAACGAUGUAGCAAUACAUAGUGGCGGACGGGUGCAUAACACGUGGGUAUCUGCCUUUAGGUACGGAAUAACUCAGGGAAACUUGAGCUAAUACCGUAUAAUAUCUCUGGAUCAAAGAUUUAUCGCCUAAAGAUGAGCCCGCGGCAGAUUAGCUAGUUGGUGGGGUAAUGGCCUACCAAGGCGACGAUCUGUAGCUGGUCUUAGAGGAUGAUCAGCCACACUGGGACUGAGACACGGCCCAGACUCCUACGGGAGGCAGCAGUGUGGAAUAUUGGACAAUGGGGGCAAACCUGAUCCAGCUAUGCCGCGUGAGUGAUGAAGGCCUUAGGGUUGUAAAGCUCUUUUAGAUGGGAAGAUAAUGACGGUACCAUCAGAAAAAGCCCCGGCUAACUUCGUGCCAGCAGCCGCCGUAA